CACCAUUCUUGAGGGCAGAAUCUGAAAAAUAAGGUGCCAGCAGGACCAUACUCUCUCCAAAGGCUCUGGAGGGAGAAUCAGUGUUUCUUACAGAUUCCGGUGGCUCUGGAUAUUUCUUGGCCUGUGACUAUAUAAUCCCAUCUUGGUCUUUGUCCUCAUACAGACUUCUUCUCUUUUCCCUGUGUCUUCCCUCCUGGUAUCUCUCAUAAGAUACUUGUUACUGGAUUUAAGGUCCACCUGCGUAAUCUAGGGUGAUCUCAAGAUCCUUAACUUUGUAACAUCUGCAAAAACUCUUUUUCAAUUAAAGUCACAUCGAUAGGUUCUGGGGGUUAUAAUGUGGACAUAUUUUGGGGGGGCAUUAUUAACCUUGCGGUUAGAUAUGAGGAAACUGGGGUUCAAUCCAGGGAGGUAAUUUGCCCAUAGCCACUCAACUGGUGGGUGGCAGGGCCAGCCUAGGACUCACCCUGAGGGCUGCAUUGUGCUCUAUGUGCUACAGAACAUUGUGGGAUGUCAGGGAAGGGACCAGGCAGAUGUAGGACCGUCCCUAACAAUCCAGCUUGGAAGGCCUUGCUUCAGGUACAGAGGGUGUUCAAUGUCAGUUAUUGAGAUGGUUAUUGAUUUUGAGGCUUUGACCUGAGCUUCUCCGGGGUGGCAAACUGAUGUGUCUGCCUCUGUAUCCCUAGCACAGUGCUGAAAAUGUUGGAUACAUGAAAUUGAAUGCCUGUGAUAAGAUACUGUGCUCAUAUGUCUGUGUACCUUUAUAGUGUCUACCAUGUGUGGUUAGUGGUGGUGCAUAGACACUAUGGAAAAGGCUGUGUGGGACCAGAGCUCGCUCCAACAGGCCCAAUUCUUGCCUUACCCACAGUCUACUCAAGGGACUUCAGAUCGGCCACUCUGCCUUGCUUUCCAAAUAUGUCAGGUGAGGUUAGUAAUACUCUUCCUACAGAUCUCACUGGAUGUUUCUGUGUUUUUGUUGACUGGGGAGUCAGUGCGGGGGGCUUCUGUCUGAAGUCAGGAGGAAGUAAAAGAUAAAAUUUCCAAGCCCCUUCCAGCCCUAGGGUUUUAGGAAAAAAUUUAAUCAUGUUUUACACCACCAGAUGUAAGCACAUAUUGAAACUGCGGGGGCAACAUGAAAUUGAGGACAAUCAUGCUCUUUCACUUAGAUGAGAGCAAGACGCACUCCGCUUAAACUGUGAUUAGAAGGAUGGAGGUCAGACAGAAAUCCCUUUGUGAUGUCAGGGGAUCUGUUUCAUGGGAACAGGGCCUGAGGCCGACUUCUCAGGGGGGCCGUUUGGGAGCUGGGAGGACUGUGGUGUGCAGAGGCAGGAGUUAAGGGUGACGAAACAUUUUGACAUAAGGAGAACUUUCCAGAAGUUAAGGCUGAGAAACCUUGCGGUGGGUGGUUGGGAAUUGAGACGGUCCCAGAAUCAGCAAAACUAAGGCCAGAUCCUUAAUGCUCUUCCAUUGAUUUGGAGGUCUUUCUGUCUGGUAGGGGGAUGGGAGGCCUCCUAGAGAUCCAGCUUGUUUAGAGCUUGGACUUUGGAGUCAGGCAGACUGGGUUAAUUGCCUCCAUUGUCAUGUACCAGUUGUUGACCUUGUAUGAGUUCCUUAACCUUCCCAGAUUCCUUGUGGUAUGGGUACGCCCCCCCUCCAGAGCUUAAGUGUGAGCAUUAGAUGAGUCAGGGCAGGCGACACACCUAGCACUGUGCUUGGCACACAGUAAGCAUCAAGAGGCUCUGACAUAGACAUGUGAAACCCUGUCCUCCUUGGACAAGCUCCAGGUUGGGGCAGGAGAGCCCCUGUGCUGUUGGAUGACAAAUGCUUUCUGUGUUUCAAAAUGAAGGCAGAUUGAAACUUGAUAUUUUUUUGAUCAAAAACCUUAAGGCAAGGCUUGGUGGAGCACCGAAAGUCCUGUUUUCUGUGACUGGGGGUCUCCGGCAGGAUGUUGGAAUGUCUCUGCUCCCCCUGACGUCCUUCUGCUGCUUUGGUGACUGCCCACAGACAGACCAGCUCCCAGUCAUCUGAAACACCACUCAGAAGGCAGGAAUUUGCAAUCCGUUCCAAGCUGGAAGUGACUUUCAUGUGAUGGGGCCGCACUGCUCUGUGACUCUGUAACCAAUUCUCCCCACGCUGGCAGCUCUCCAGAUGCCUGGGAUGUGAUCAGUUGACCAAACAAAACGGCAGGUCCGUCCAGGAGAACGCUGUGUCUGGCUUCGGGAGCAAAAGCUCCCAGCACGUGCAAAACUCAGGCCCCAAGUUUCUUCAUGUUUUUCCCUGUUCUUUUCAGGCAGCUCUUUUUAGGUAAGAAAUCUACAACCUUCAACUUUGAAAGUCAAGUUAAGUUUAGGUAAAACAAAUCAGUGCUGGAAUCAGUGAUUGAAGAGGUCACCGUAGGUGGCAAACAUCCAUUUUUGUUCAACCGAAGUAAACAGAAAUGAACGGAAUUGCCUUCCACACAUUUUUGUGAGUAUGCUGGGGACGUUCAUCACCCCCAAGGUGGCCUUAUAGAAGGAAGAUUGGCCUGGGGAUCCCAACACUGGCUUCUGGCACUAGCUGGGCUCCUGACUCCCUCUGAAACUCAGAGCCGACCUCCUAACUUCUCAGGAAGUCAGUUUCCCUAUUUCUAAAAUUAGUUGGCUUCCAACUUUCCUUCCCUGUUUAAAAUUCUUUGAUGUGUUUUCGAACGCUAGAUAAAUUCUCUGUUGAUAGAUCCGUAGAAAAAUUUGUAAGGAUCUCUUAUGUUUGUAUAGCGCUUUAUUGUUUUAUUUGUUGUCCAGAAGCUUCUGAGCUUGGCAGGGCGGAUUGGGUUACCCUAGCACAUGGAUGAGGAAACUGAGGUCCAGAUAAAUUGAGUUCCUGGCUUGGCCAUGGCUUUUUGGUGGGUGAACGGAGGUGGGGAGGACAAAGCCCAGAUCUCCUGGUGUCUAGUCCAGAAUUCGUCUCCAAUCUUGACACGUGCGAUUGUUGAUGGAGCAAGAAACCAUAUCCAACCCCGGCUCUCUCCAUCAGAGGCAAAAUCCCACCCAACGUGUCCUUCUGCGUAAUGGCCAUCGGCCACUUCAGGUGGCUCUUCUUGGGUACUCAUUUGGAGUUCAGUUUAUGAUAAAAUGCGCUACAUGUUACAAAUGCAGAUUUCAAGGUGAAUCUUACAGUCAGGCAUGCAAAGUCAGCACAGGUUUCGUAGGAGUUUAGGUUGGAAACAAGGUUGCCGGAUUAACUGGCUGCUCAUUUACCUUCGCUUUUGCAUCUUUAAAACAGCUGGCGCAAUAUCUAAUAUUUACGAUACUCGGUACAUUAAUUCUCGUGCUCUCUCCAUGUUAUCUUGAUAAUUUGUAAUGGAAUUUGGGCGUUCAUUACAAUUAUGUAGGGACACUGAAUGAUAGAAUGGUUGUAAUGUAUUGCUAUGGGAAACAAAUGAAACAAAGUGGUGUGUUUUGUCUUUACUCAUUUUUGUAUAGAAAUAUGAAAUCAGGUAUGUAACGAAGAGAGGAUUCUCACAUGGGUUAAUAGUAGUUUUCGUAUAGGUGGUGGGACCAUCAGUGCAUUUUACUUUUUUUUUUUUUUUUUUUUUGCUUUUCUGCUUUUCCGUGUGUAAAUUGACCAUAUCUUAAUGCGGUAAUCAGUUUAAAAGUUUCUUCCUUUGAAGGUGUACGGGUGAUGAUUUUAUCUGAUUGGGAGAAAAAAUUGGACAACCAGUUUACUUCCAGGUGGUUGUUGAAGAAGACUGAUUCCCAAAUAUUUUCAACACAGACACAAAUUGUGCCAUCGGCAGUAAUUGCUAAUUGACCCUCUUUCUGUUCAAUUAAGACAGCCACUCUCAGCUGCUGUGGGUCCGCGGGAUUGAGGAUGCGGCAGCCAAGCGCAGUUGGGGCCCGGGCUUCACAUCUGCUGCCUGCCUUUGCCAAACAGCUGUGUUCUGAGCCAGCAGCGUGAUGAUGCUCACCUGCAGGAAAUGUGGGUCGUGGAGUUGGUCUGCAGGCCUCGGGGGAUAAAGAGCGGACGGUUCCACUCCGACAGGUCUGUGGGCUGACUGUGCGAGAGGCCGUGUGGGCCCUCAGGAGUCUAGGGCUUUAUGGUAAAUGGAGGCAGGUAUAAACCUGGCUUCCUUGGCUACUCCCUCUGACCGUGAUGCGGGGGAAGUUCUUCAUCUCUCCAAACCUCCCUUUCCUCCAUCUGCAGAAUGGAAAGAAUAUGGCUGUUUAUUCUACAUGGUUGUAUUAAGGAUUAAAGAAGAUGAGUGGCAAGAACAUCAUCUUUGUGCCAGGUGGACUUGGCUUGAACCAGAUCUGCAUGACUUUGGACAGCUUCUUGCCUGCCAUCAGCCCCUGUUUCUCCAGUUUAUAAAAUAUAAGCAAUAUUGCCAAUCUUUUUAAAGUUGGACUAUUAAGAGAGGUUAAGAGAGAUUAACUGAAAUCAUGUGCGUAAGUUUUCAUGGCAGAGUGCUUGGGGUCUGUGAAGUGUAAGCGAGAUGUGAAAGGCUCCUAGUUGGGUAUAAGGUGCUGAUGAUUCAGGUUAUCAGCAGCAGUGAUUAGGAAUGAUAUUGCCAAAUGGAUAGUGACAUCAGCAGCACUAUUAAGAAUAUUUCUGUGUUUUUAUUGCGGCAAAUUAGUGAAAUCCUGUUAAGCACAAAAUAUUGUGAAAACAAGAACUGCAUGUUUUACAAAUCUUUUGGUACUCUUAAAUGAAGGUGCUUUAUACAACACUGGUUGAAAGUUUGUUGAAGAUUUAUUAUAACACAAGAGUAUAACACGUAGACCCACAAUUGUGUAGCGAAUGACUCACAUGAGAAUGUAAUGAUUGGUGGUUAAAUGCUACCUGAAGACAGAAGAUCUGAUUACAUCCCAAGCACCUGUAUCACAGAUGAUCUUAUACAGUCUCCUGGCACUUUUGGGUAUGUUACACCAUUCCUUACAGCCACAUUUUGCAAAAGAAUAAAAGAUAUAUAUGAUCCUC